AUUGAACGCUGGCGGCAUGCCUUACACAUGCAAGUCGAACGGCAGCACGGGAGCAAUCCUGGUGGCGAGAGGCGAACGGGUGAGUAAUAUAUCGGAACGUGCCCAGUCGUGGGGGAUAACGUAGCGAAAGCUACGCUAAUACCGCAUACGAUCUAUGGAUGAAAGCGGGGGAUCGCAAGACCUCGCGCGAUUGGAGCGGCCGAUAUCAGAUUAGGUAGUUGGUGAGGUAAAGGCUCACCAAGCCGACGAUCUGUAGCUGGUCUGAGAGGACGACCAGCCACACUGGGACUGAGACACGGCCCAGACUCCUACGGGAGGCAGCAGUGGGAAUUUUGGACAAUGGGCGCAAGCCUGAUCCAGCAAUGCCGCGUGCAGGAUGAAGGCCUUCGGGUUGUAAACUGCUUUGUACGGAACGAAACGGUGAGCUCUAAUACAGUUUGCUAAUGACGGUACCGUAAGAAUAAGCACCGGCUAACUACGUG
rnacentral:rRNA from 1 species